rnacentral:lncRNA from 1 species
AAAAAAAAAAAAAUGUGGAAUGGAUGAAUGAAAGAAUCCAUCCCUACUGUGCUCUGCGCUAGGCUUUUGUCAACUCCCGUCCUCUCUCACUGGUAGUUGUUCUCCAGGGAGAGGGUGAGUCUCUCCACAGAUGAGAACCAGAGACUCCGAGGAGUUUCGAACCCCUUCCUGGCUUUGGGGUCUAAGAAGGCCCUGCUCUCUGCUCCCUGCCCCCCACUCCUGGAAGCCUUUGAUCCCACCGUCCCCAGGGCUCCUCGGGCCAGACCAGCGGCGGGGUCUGAGCGUGGCACAGUCUCUGGUUGAGCGUCCGCAGCACACUUUCAUGACGCAGCUGGAUCCAGGUCAGUCAGGGGUUGGCGGGUCCAGGAAGUGGCCGGUCACUCUCAUCAGAAGCAAAGGCGAAAAGAAGACAGCUUUGUAGGGUUUUGAUGGAUCCCUGCUUCUUAUUGCCGUCCUAUGAUGUAUCUUCAGCAUCAGCUUACUUUUCCAGCAAGAGAGUCCUUAAGCAAGGACUUCGGUCUUUGAAAAUAUAGCCCAGAACCCAAGUGAGCCGAGGAGGCACUGAGAUGGCCCGCGCACGAGGCAGCUCCCCGUGCCUAGGCCGGUUCUUGGCUUGUUCGUAGAAUCACUGGUGCCCACAUUCUUCUCUCUUACACACGAUCUAACACACGCCCAGCCUGGGGGAGCAGGGGGCAUGAGAAGACUGUGAAACAGGACAAGGCUACACAGUUAAAGGGAGAACCACACGCAAAGCCCCACAGGCGCCCCAUGCUGGCUGUUGAGAAUGACAAAUAGGACUCGGCAUGUGCUUCAGGGAGCGUGCGAUCCAGGAGGAGACACAGAUGGAGACCGAGCACGUGCGAAGUGCACUUGUGUACUCAGGUUCUCCUCUUGUUCCAGCAAGGUUCUCGGUGCGAAUAGGCCAUGUGAUUGAAAUACUCUGCUCUUGAGGUGGGGAUGGGGGCUCACAAAGCAGGGACCCUCUCUUCUGUCUGGGGAGUUGGGGGGGGGGGUCUCAGAGGCGGUCGUCCUGCUGGAGCUGCUGGUGUGUGCACCAGGGACCCAGCAAGUCAGGGGCCCGAGUGGCUGGAGUGUGGGGCAGACAAGCUCCCAUCUGAGGUGUGUGCUGUGGGCCAGUCCUGCCCCUCGGGGAACUUCUAGGCCAGUGAAGCAAAGACCUGUGAGGUGUGUGCAGCCUCCCUCCUUCUCAGAGGCCUGUUCUCAGCAUCUGGAAAGCCCCGGGCUAAAGGCACAUUUCCUGGAGUGGCCGAGACAGGUGCUCCUGUGGGCUCGGACCUCCUGGACCCCCAGCUUCAGGCUGCACUGAUCACAGUCCGGGGAGGAGUUCUGGCCACGGGAGUAACCCCUCGGGUUCAGACAGCAAGAGCCGUCCGCUCCUCCGUGAGGGAGGCCGAGGGAAGGCCAGUUUCCCGGCCGUGCAUGGGACCACAGAGGCUGCGAGACUCCAAGUCUCGUUCCCAGGAAGUGGCAGAGCCAGGACUGGAAUCCAGGGGGCGGGGACAGAGGCUGCCUGUGGGCUGUGUGAACCCCAGCAGAGGACCACCUAAGGGCAAGAGAAGGCGUUGUCCCGGCGGGGUGGUGGGGGGGAGACCCUGGGGCUCUGGAAGCAGAUUGGACGAGGUUCAAAUCCUGCCUCCGCCAGCUGUGAGCUGGGUACCCUCACCCCCUUGAGUUUUGGGUGCCUCACCAGUUAACAGAAAAAAGGCUGCUUCGCAGGCUUGCUGUGAAAAUGAAAUGAGAUGAUGCACACGUAUCCGCCGGGCAAAGCCGGCAGUGACAAGCGCCGUCGCGGAUGGCUUGGUCAGCGGCUGGCUCUACCUGCAUCAUCUCAGCUAACCCCCCGAGCCACGUAGAAAAGGAUCUCCUCUUUCCAUAGACGCAGAAACGAAACGGAGGUGCCCAGAGCCCCUGUAGGCAGCAGCUGAUGAAGCGUGAAAACAGGCUCCAGAGCCCCAGGUCUCGAACAGGAGGCUGGCCCGGCUCCUCGUCGCGUUUCAUUCCUGAGCCUUUGACCCACACAGGCUCGGCCACGCGCCAAGUCUGUGGAAGUGACCCCCUGACCCAGCAGGAGGGAAGCACCACGGGAGUCCCUGGAGACCCUGCAGAGGUCAAGUGAGCUCGACCCUGGAGGAAACGGUCAGCAGCUGUGGCCUUGGGAAGGAAGGGCUGAGAGGUCACAGGCACCAGGCAGGGCCCCGUGGUCAAGGUGGUUGGUGGCUUCGGACGAACAAAGUGGUGACCUGGAAUCCAGCGGGCUGGGUGUCCCUUUCCCACUUCCUUCCUGCGCCGCCUGUCUCGCUGAGUCACCUCCAGGAAGUCGGGGCGUGAGGCGGAGAGAGAGGCCCCCGGUCCUCCCUCGCCCCUGCUGUCGCCGCACCGCGUGACCCUCAGGCAACCACUUCCCCUCGCCGGGGCUCAGUUUCCACAUCUGUCACACAGGAGGCCGGGCAGGUCUCCCGAGUCAGGCGAAGGGCUGUUGCCCAGGACACUGCCUCCUGGAAGCCAGCCGAGGACAAAGGCCCGCUCGGCUGGUGAGCAGGGAUGUGACAGUCCCUGCGCCCCACUCACCACUGGCUGGGUUCUGCCACGGGCCCCGAGCGUCGCCCUCAGAUGCCAGGACCGGGAGGGGGGUAGAAGGCAGCCCUCCAAAGGCUGAAAGGUGAUGCCACCCAGGGGAGCAGCCGCAAAGCGACCUAAGCCUCGCCUUCCUUAGCUCCAUCCCCUGCCAGCCUUCCGUGAUGCAUGUUUCUGAAUUUUCACCGAGGCCGGGGCCCUGAUGAGGGGCCCAGCAGACCCUCUGGGAUUCCAGUGCAGGCACAGUCUUGUGGGAAAAGGCACCGCCAACCGGGCCUUCCCUCAACUCCGGGCGGUGUCCCCUGGGAGCCUGGGCCAUGCAGUAACCCUUGCACUCCCUCAGACCCAAGAGAAGCUGCGUUGGCUGUUUGGUGCCAAACCUGUUUAAGAGGCUUAUCCCGAAGGACACCAUGUGCUGAAGUCAACUCACUUCUGCAGGGAGCCGUUCUUCGCAUAUCCUGGCGCCUGCAGCUCUAGAGGCAAGGCCGUCUGUGGCUGAGGGGAGGGAGGGCAUGUGCCUUGGAAGAGUUUGCUCCAGGGCCCUGGGGGAUCGCCUGGGUAAGUGAUAGAGCAGGGCUAUGGCAUCUGGCUGGGUUUCCCACCGCUCUGGCGGUGGUGGGAAGACAAAGGGAGGCCAUGAGGAGGCAUCUGGACGCCAAAGAUGAGGGGCUUCGCCUAUGAGCCAGAGUCCAUUAGCAGGGCUUUCAAGCCCUCCAGAUGCGGCCUGUCCCCCUGCGCCAACCUCCAAGUGCAGGGUCCGCUGUCCUAAGGGCUUCAGCCUCCCCAGCGGGCCUGGGCCCUGUGCAGUCCCCGUCGCGCUGUAUCACUUCAUGUUUCUGUGCCUUUGCCCAUUUCUCUUCCACGGGAGCACCACUUCCUCGCCUCUCCUAUCGCCAACGUAGUCUGCCUCGCGGACUCUCUUUUGGUUUUAUCUUGGGCUUUUUUUUUUUUUUUUUUUAGGACCCCUAGCCUGGGAAUCUCCAUAUGUGGGUGCAGCCCUGAAAAGACAAAAAUGAAAAACAGAAGGAAAAAAAAGCAAAACAAAACAGAGAAGCGAAAGGAGACCCUGCCCAUUGGGACGGAGGGCAGAGCAGUGGUCCCAGUGACCGGGGGGUGGGGGUGGGAGGCAAAUGGCCUGAGGCCUGGAGAUGCUCAGCCCAGCACUCGGGUGGGAGAGUCUAGGGAGGCCGUGUCCCCAGCGCUCCCCGAGUCUGGGGAGGUGGUGAGGGAGGGCCCUGCAGGGCCAGACAGGCCAUGGCGGGAGGGGUCGGGCAGGCAGCCCUCCCGGAGUUGAGGGCCUUGGGUCACGCCUGGAAGCUGCCACCCUCACCCUUCAGAGCAGAGACUCCCAAGGCCCCUCACAGGCUCUCCCACCUGCAGGCGCCAGCCCAGGGCCUCCACCUGGACUUAGGCCCCAUGUCCCCAGCACACCCAGCAUCCCUCCUUUCGCUUCCUGUCCCGCUCCCCAGGCCACAUUCCCCAACACUCAGUGCUCUUUCAAGCCUUCGUUCCUCCUUGGUGGCCGUUUCUACUACUAAACACUGGCACACUCUGCCAAGCGCAGCUCAAAAGCCACCUCUUCCAAGAAGCCUUUCUGCAAAGAUUUGCGAACAACCGCCCUUGCUUUGUGCUUUCCCCGUCGUGGUCUCUGGCUGAGUCCUCAGGAGGUCUUCCUGUUCCGGUGGCAGAGCCCCACUGGACCUACCACCUGGAAAGGCAGAAUGGAAGUCAAAGAUGGUACCCACAGGAAUCCAUCUCACGGCAAGGAGGACACAGAGGGCCCGGGGUGGCCCAGCGCCUGGGGCUUCCCCACGGCGAGGGCCCAUUGGCCUGCUCUGACCUGGAUGCCACCAAUGUCUAUACCUGUAGAACGGAGUUUGUUUCUCUGGCAAUUCCAGACGGAGCGAAUCCCAGACAGAGCUGCGUCUCUGGGGUAGAAGAGCAGAUGCUUCAUCUAAAAUUAGGCUGCUGACUGCGACUCCAUCUAGGCUGCGGGAACGGGUCUGCUUCUUACAUCUGUCGUUGUGGAGUGGAGGCCAAGUGGAGCCCCUGCCUCCCUACUGAGCCUGAGUGGCAACGUGACAGCCAGCCAGGGGUCUACCUGGAGGGCUUCCCUGCCCCGCAUCUGACUGACUCUUAACAAACCCCCUGAGAGGGGCCUGUCUCCUGAGAGUCCCCCUCCCCACUCCAAAAGGCCCUUAGGAUCUGGGUCUGUCUGACUUUGGCAUUGGGUGCAUCCCCUAGGAGUUUAAAUAACCCACCCAACAUUCAGUCCCCACCAGCGAGGGUCCAGGCGGUGUGGAUCCCAACACUGAAUUCCGGCAGCCAGACAACAGGCCCGGGAGUUCCCUGGUGGUCUAGUGGUUAGGACUUGGUGUUUUCGCCACUGUGGCCGCGGUUGCAUCCCUGGUCUGGGAACGUAGAUCCCACAUCCAGCCGCUGCCACGACCCUCCACCCCUCAAAAAAAGGCCCCUAGGAAUGUUGCGGGUGAAAGCCAGGGUGCCCGGCUGAAGCCGAGGAAGAUGAUUACUAAGAAAAAUCUCUUCCUGCCUUUUCUGUGUCUGCUGUUUCCUCCUGCAUUCAGGCACCCUCAGACCCUUUCAUUGCCUGCCCACGCUGGGCCCUGCUCUCUGGGAAGAGCGGUGACCACUGGAGGCCCACUGUGGGGACCACGCCGACCCCAUAGACUUCACUGAUUUCUCGUAAAGCUACAGUUCUCACAAUGGCCUACAAGGCGCCAAGUGACAUGCCCAGCACGCUCACCUCAGGGCCUUUGCACCGGCUGUUCUCUGCCUAUAAAGGUCUUCCCGCCAUAGCUACACGACUCAGUCUUCACCUGCUUCAGGACCUUGCUCAAGCGCCACCACCUUCUCAGAGAGGCUUCCUCUCACCCCGCUAUUUAAAUCUGUGAGCUUCCUCCCACCGCUGCGUUCUCAAUUCCCUUACUCUGUCCUGCCGCGUACUUUCCGCGGGAUACGGAACAUGUAAGUACACGUGUUAGUCCCUCAUUUAUUUGGUCUCAUCUUUUUGUUUUGUUUUGUUUGUAGGGCCACACCCUCGGCAUAUGGAAGCGCCCAGCCUAGGGAUCCAAUUGGAGCUACAGCUGCCGGCCUACACCACAGCCACAGCAACGCUGGAUCCUUCACCCACGGAGCAAGGCCAGGGAUUGAACUGCAACCUCAUGGUUCCUAGUCGGAGUUGUUUUCGCUGCGCCGCAGUGGGAACUUCUAUUUGGUUUCUUUCUUGUCAGGGGCUUCCCUCUAGAAGGUGGCUCCGUGGGGACAGGGCUUCUUGUCCGUUUUGUUCACUGAGAUACUUGGUCUCAGUCCCCACAGCAGGGCCUGGCCUGUGGGAGGUGUUCGCUGACCCUCUGUUGGGGAAUGCAUCUGUCAGGUGAGGCAGCGGCUCCUGGACUGAGGCCCUCCGUCCUUGGCCCCUCUGCUGUCGGGACUGCCUCUGGGUCCUCUUCAGGCCCCAUUCGCUCAUCUGGUAACUGGGGCUGCCGGUCCCUCUCCUGCCACGAAGGUGGCAUGAGAGUAUGGGUGCGAUUGCACCCAAAGCCGUCCGGGCUGCCCACAUAAGUGUGGGGUGGCUGUUUGUUGAGCUCACACAUGGAGCACCUAUAGGGCUCGGGGCUAAGUGCCGGGGGUCCCCAGAAGAGUGACCACCUGUGUCCAGGUACAUAGGGGUUCUCCCAGGCCAGUGGGGCCAGCUCCCCUUUGGGGAGAAUUAUUGGACAAAAGGGACUCCAAAAAAGGGAAUGUGGGGCCCUCCCGAGCUUGGGGAAUUUCUCCCUGAGCCUCCUGUGUUAGUCAGGGUCCUCUAGAGAAUCAGAACCUAGGCCACACACACACACGGACACACACACACAGCCCUACAUAUGUAUCAGAAACAGGGUAUAUAUCGUCCAGCAGAAACCGUCACAACCACAUAAGUCACCUACAUUUCAAUAAAACUGUAAAACGUGAAAAACACCCCGCUCAGAAAGGAACGAGGAUAUGUGUGCAUCUCGAGCGUGCACGAGAGAGAGACCGAGCCUUGUUGCAAGGCUUGGCUUGUGUGGCUAUGGAAUUCCAAACCCUGAGGCGUCCCAAGACCUGCAGCUGGCGAGCUGGAGACCGGGAGAGCCGCUGGUCUAGGUUUCCGUCUGCAAGCCAGCAAGCCUGCUGUCUCAGUUCCUGCCCAAAGGCUGGAAGAAGCCAAUGUCCCAGCUCCAUCCGGCCCAGGGGUGCCCUCUCAGCCUUCUUGUUCUAUUCAGGUCUUCAGGGGGUUGGAGGCGGCCCCUCACACUGGGGAGGGCAGUCUGCCUCACUCGGUCUCUCGAUUUGAAUGUUAACCUCAUCCAAGAACACCCCACACAGCCACACCCCUGCCCAAGUCCUGGGCACCCUGGGGCCCAGUCCAUCUGACACAGAAGAUUACCCACCACGCCCCCGUCCCCACUCCCAGAUUGCCGUCGGUUCUUCAUCUCCAAGCCCACACGCAGCCACCAAAUCUGCGUGCUCACCUUUCCCUCCCCAGAACCCUGGCUCUCCUACCCUGCCACCCUUGGGGGCAUCGCCUCUGCUCCCAAGCUCCCCUGACCCAGCUCCUUCUAAGUGGUACCCACUAGAUGCCCCCAGAUGCUUGCUGGGAUUCUCAUCCCAUCAGAUUCAGGGUAGGGUUGAAGGGCGGGUUGCAGAGAAUCCGCAGGAAGGCCUGGGGGAGACGGCCCUUGGAGGGCUGGUUUCCAGGCUGGAAGGAGCAUGGCUGCCUGGGUUAAGUGCCUGGAGCUCCUGAGAGAUCCGUGGGCUUCUCCCGGCGCCUCCAGGCAGAGGGGCCAACACUGCCUCAUUCCCCAUGGGAGGUAUGGGAGGAGGCCAGUCGGGGGCCGUGUAUGGUGAACACCUACUGUGUGCCAGGCAUAGACCCUCGGAGCUCUUCCAACCUGGCAGGGGCUUCAGACACAAAUACUCUAAUGUGGUAAAUGCUCCGAUGGUACAUGCAGAGCAAGCUCCAACAGGGUGGGCGGGGCUUUUAAGUCUACUGAGGUGGGGGCUGAAAAAAAUAAGAGAGACAGAACAUUUGAAGGAGGCCAUAGGAUGCGUCCACUACGGAGUCAGGAAGAGUUAACGGGCAGCUGAAGGGAAGAGCGGGUCCGCUGGGAGAGGAGGAGAAGGAAGGAGGAGGAUGAGGCAGAGGGAAGGGCACGAGCAAACGUGUGCAGUGGGGUCAUUCCUGGACUUCCCGUCGCGGCGCGGCGGAAACCAGUCCGACUAGGAACCAUGAGGUUGCAGGUUCGAUCCCUGGCCUUGCUCAGUGGGUUAAGGAUCCGGCGUUGCCGUGAGCUGUGGUGUAGAUCACAGAUGCGGCUCGGAUCCUCCAUGGCUGUGGCUCUGGUGUAGACCAGUGGCUAUAGCUUCAAUUUGACCCCUAGCCUGGGAACCUCCAUAUGCCAUGGGUGAGGCCCUAAAA